GGAAUUCCUAAUCCAAAUGGGAGUAGGAUUAAUCAUUAAGUCUCUAUAAAUGCCUAUGUAACUUGAUUAUUUUACUAGGGUUUUUAUAAUGUAGUUUAGAGUAUGAUUUGGUUUGGAAGGCCUCAGUGCCCAACUUUCUCUUCCUCUUUUUCCUAGCUGCUACAGCACUUCAAGAACUGUUCACAGCAGUGACAGCACCCAAACAUCAGAUGAAUGACCUGAUGCAAAUAAAAACAGAGUAUAUUUUCUUUUCUUUGCUCAACCUAAUAAGAUCUAACUCAAUACUCUAAUCUCCCUUCUUUAGAUCUUGACUCUUAUCACACAAUUGCUUGAAAUUUGCCUACCAUAAAAGCAUCAGUGGGUAGGCAUCUGAAUCUAUCCUACAUCAGUG
rnacentral:misc_RNA from 1 species